rnacentral:lncRNA from 1 species
GCUUGUCCCUUCUUUUGAGUUUUUGGUGACUGCUCUUCUUAUGAGGAAGAGCACCAUCAAGAUAGAGGAGAUCACUUCUGUGCUUCUCUAUAAUGAGGUUCUUAGGUGGGAGAAUCGAGUUUUAAGUUCAAAAGAUGACUCGACUAUGGCGGUGACUAGAAGAGGUGGUGGUAAAAGAUGAAGGGGCAGAGGAUCGUAAGAUGGGUGGUCCAGAUCCAAAAUGAGAGAAUUCAACAAGAUCAGAUGCUAUGGAUGUAAUAAGUUAGGAUAUCGAGUUAGAAAUUGUCCAUAGCUCAA